rnacentral:rRNA from 1 species
GACGAACGCUGGCGGCGUGCCUAAUACAUGCAAGUAGAACGCUGAAGGAAGGAGCUUGCUCUUUCCGGAUGAGUUGCGAACGGGUGAGUAACGCGUAGGUAACCUGCCUGGUAGCGGGGGAUAACUAUUGGAAACGAUAGCUAAUACCGCAUAACAGUAGAUGUUGCAUGAUAUCUACUUAAAAGGUGCAAUUGCACCACUACCAGAUGGACCUGCGUUGUAUUAGCUAGUUGGUGAGGUAACGGCUCACCAAGGCGACGAUACAUAGCCGACCUGAGAGGGUGAUCGGCCACCCUGGGACGGGGCCACGGCCCAGACUCCUACGGGAGGCAGCAGGAGGGGAUCUUCGGCAAUGGACGGAAGUCUGACCGAGCAACGACGCGUGAGUGAAGAAGGUUUUCGGAUCGUAAAGCUCUGUUGUAAGAGAAGAACGAGUGUGAGAGUGGAAAGUUCACACUGUGACGGUAUCUUAGCAGAAAGGGACGGCUAACUACGUG